CUCCCUCUAUAAAUUGGCCCUAGCCGGCCACCUCCUCCCCUUUGGCUUCAUUUCCUUCACUCUCCACUCCCCCACACUCUCCCCCUACCUCUCCCCACGAGCUGCUGCCCCUCCCAAGCUUCAUGGCCGGCCAUGGCCAUGGAGAUUCACCAAGAGGAAGCUCUUUCCCUCCCUCAAGCUCCCCCUCACCAUAAGAGCAUCCCUCUCACUCUCUUCUCCCCUAACCUUUGAUGAAUCCAGCUCCCCUUUCUCCUUUAUCCUCUCACAAGAUUGGAUCUUGAUGCAGGUGCAUGUUGGUCCAAGCAUGGAGAAGGUUGAGCAAUCCUCAGAUCUGAAGUUCUUGAGCAAAAUCCAAAUCGAGUGAUUCAAAGUUACGCGGAUAGGUAUUGAAAAGAUCUACAACUUGGCGUUGGUCUCAUCCUCAAAUUCGUUACGGAUUUUGCAUGAUCAAUGUCUGGUCAGAUCUGACUUUGUCGAAUUAAACCAGGAGCUUGGAAACGAAUUUUUGAAUGAAACCAAUUGGAUGCGAACAAUUCCGGAGAAGAAUAAGAAAUGGAAUCGGACGAGGAUUUUAUUUAUAUAUGUUGUUGGAAUUCUUAUAUUGAUGGAGUUGAAGAAGUACAGGGACAAAUAAG